rnacentral:rRNA from 1 species
AGCAGCCGCGGUAAAUUCCAGCUCCAAUAGCGUAUAUUAAAGUUGCUGCAGUUAAAAAGCUCGUAGUUGAAUUUCGGGACUAAUAUGUUGGUCGUGCCUCGGUACGUACUGAUAUUUUUGGUCUCUCCCCUCUGACGAACCUUGAUGUCAUUAAUUUGGUGUCUUGGGAAAUCAGGACUGUUACUUUGAAAAAAUUAGAGUGUUUAAAGUAGGCUCACGCUUGAAUACAUUAGCAUGGAAUAAUGAAAUAGGACGUUUGAUUCUAUUUUGUUGGUUUCUAGGAUCGACGUAAUGAUUAAUAGGGAUAGUUGGGGGCAUUAGUAUUCAAUUGCCAGAGGUGAAAUUCUUGGAUUUAUUGAAGACUAACUACUGCGAAAGCAUUUGCCAAGGAUGUUUUCAU